rnacentral:rRNA from 1 species
GUGUCAGCCGCCGCGGUAAUACGGAGGAUGCGAGCGUUAUCCGGAUUUAUUGGGUUUAAAGGGUGCGUAGGCGGGCUUAUAAGUCAGCGGUGAAAGACUGUCGCUCAACGAUAGCAUUGCCGUUGAUACUGUAGGCCUUGAGUACAUUUGAGGUGGGCGGAAUGUGUAGUGUAGCGGUGAAAUGCUUAGAUAUUACACAGAACACCAAUUGCGAAGGCAGCUCACUAAACUGUAACUGACGCUGAGGCACGAAAGCGUGGGGAUCAAACAGGAUUAGAAACCCUCGUAGUCC